GUUCUCUGGUAAUCGCGGUCUACCUUGAGUAGGCUGAGGAAAGUCCAAGCUUGCACAGGCUGAGAUGCUUGUAGUGAUCGUGCUUGCUGAAAAAAUAAGGCAAGGUACCUUUUGGGUAACGGCAGAUAAAAGGACUAAGGCAAUUGCUAUGUCCGAGUAGUCUUGAAAGUGCCACAGUGACGAAGCAAUAUUGGAAACAAUAUUGAUGGAACGCGGUAAACCCCACGAGCAGGUAACCCAAACUUUGGUAGGGGCGCUUCAUGACGGAAAUGAACAAAUCAUGGGGGCAGAUAGGGUAAAACUUGUCUGGAGAUAGAUGAUUACCACCGAUUUCAACAUCCUGUGUUGAAUGACGUACGGAACGUGGCUUAUAGAG
rnacentral:RNase_P_RNA from 1 species